rnacentral:rRNA from 1 species
CGAAAGCCUGACGGAGCAACGCCGCGUGAGGGAUGAAGGCCUCUGGGCUGUAAACCUCUUUUAUCAAGGAAGAAGAUCUGACGGUACUUGAUGAAUAAGCCACGGCUAAUUCCGUGCCAGCAGCCGCGGUAAUACGGGAGUGGCAAGCGUUAUCCGGAAUUAUUGGGCGUAAAGCGUCCGCAGGCGGUUUUACAAGUCUGUCGUUAAAGCGUGGAGCUCAACUCCAUUUCAGCGAUGGAAACUGUAAGACUCGAGUGUGGUAGGGGCAGAGGGAAUUCCCGGUGUAGCGGUGAAAUGCGUAGAUAUCGGGAAGAACACCAGUGGCGAAAGCGCUCUGCUGGGCCAUAACUGACGCUCAUGGACGAAAGCCAGGGGAGCGAAAG